AUUGAACGCUGGCGGCAGGCCUAACACAUGCAAGUCGAGCGGAUGACGGGAGCUUGCUCCUUGAUUCAGCGGCGGACGGGUGAGUGAUGCCUAGGAAUCUGCCUGGUAGUGGGGGACAACGUUUCGAAAGGAACGCUAAUACCGCAUACGUCCUACGGGAGAAAGCAGGGGACCUUCGGGCCUUGCGCUACCAGAUGAGCCUAGGUCGGAUUAGCUAGUUGGUGGGGUAAUGGCUCACCAAGGCGACGAUCCGUAACUGGUCUGAGAGGAUGAUCAGUCACACUGGAACUGAGACACGGUCCAGACUCCUACGGGAGGCAGCAGUGGGGAAUAUUGGACAAUGGGCGAAAGCCUGAUCCAGCCAUGCCGCGUGUGUGAAGAAGGUCUUCGGAUUGUAAAGCACUUUAAGUUGGGAGGAAGGGCAGUAAGUUAAUACCUUGCUGUUUUGACGUUACCGACAGAAUAAGCACCGGCUAACUCUGUGCCAGCCGCCGCCGUAAUAC
rnacentral:rRNA from 1 species